rnacentral:misc_RNA from 1 species
AAAUGCGAUAAGUAAUGUGAAUUGCAGAAUUCAGUGAAUCAUCGAAUCUUUGAACGCACCUUGCGCUCCUUGGUAUUCCUUGGAGCAUGCCUGUUUGAGUAUCAUGAAAUCUUCAAAGUAAAUCUUUUGUUAACUCAAUUGGUUUCUACUUUGGUAUUUGAGGUCUUUGCAGCUUCACACCUGCUCCUCUUUGUUCAUUAGCUGGAUCUCAGUGUUAUGCUUGGUUCCACUCGGCGUGAUAAGUUAUCUAUCGCUGAGGACACUGUAAAAGGUGGCCAAGGUAAAUGCAGAUGAACCGCUUCUAAUAGUCCAUUGACUUGGACAAUACUUUUAUGAUCUGAUCUCAAAUCAGGUAGGACUACCCGCUGAACUUAAGC